rfam:Gossypium arboreum cultivar AKA8401 contig_1208_5, whole genome shotgun sequence.
AAUCCAUGGUGAGGGCACCUUCUGAAUAAGUCCUUAUACUUCUCCCAAGCAUCAUAUAGAGUCUCUAAAUCCAUUUGCACGAAGGAAGAGAUAUCAUUCCUCACUUU